rnacentral:lncRNA from 1 species
AGGGCGACUGCAGGAUGUGGCUGAUUUCUAAGGCUGCGCUCCAGUUCUGAAAACCUCCACAAAAGUCCCUAAAGCCACCAGUCAAGUUCCCAGAGCCCAUUCUGGAGAACAAGUUUUGCCGCUGCCCUUGACCUCUUGGAAGGAGGGGAGCCUUUUUCCCCAGCCGCCUCUCAACGCCCUCAGCUAAAGUCAGGGAUGUGAAACUCCUUGGCACAGGGCUGUUGUGAGGAUUAACAAGAGGAGAGAGAAUACGUAGCUGAAUGACUGGCCCAGCGUGGAAACCCGAUAAAUGUCCCCGUGCCUCCUUUCCCCCGCCUUCUAGCCUGUCCCUCCUGACUCUUCCUCUCCCAUCCUCGGAAGAAACUGCGGGAAAGAGUUACUCAUCGCCUCCUUCCAAACACAAUGUUGUCAGCGGCGGGGAAGGUGGCCGAGCCCAGAGGAAAGAGCCGGGGCCAGGCUGGGGACGGUGCCUGCGGGCACCUCUGGUCUCCAGGAUCACCGAGGGGAGACUCAGUGGGCUGGAACAGGACGGGAGUAAAGCCAGUGUGGAUGCCACGUGCAAGUUGACAGGAGGACCAAGAGGGCUUACUUGAGGUCACAGGUUCAAAAGAGAAAAUCUACACCCAUGUGGAAUCUAAGCCCCUCUUGAUCUAGAGGUGGAGUGGACAUCACCAUCGCAGCGUCCACAGGAUGGAGGAAUAGAAUAUGGAUUAGAGUGGACUUACUGCUAUUCUAUUAUAGAACUAUUGUGACUAGUAAUGAAAGAAAUCGUAGCAUUGAGGUGGAGAAAGUGGCCACAGUAGUUGCUGAGGGUGGGGAGAGGGAAGAAGAGAUGUGAUUUGGGGGCAUUUUGGGGACUUGGAGUUGUCCUAAAUGAUACUGCAGGGACAGACGCUGGACUUUAUAUAUCCUGCCAUCACCCACUGAAUGUGCUGGGGGAGAGGGUAAACUACAGGGUAAAGUAUUAUAUAUGUGGUGCAGCAGUGCUCCAAAAUGUGUUCACCGAGUGCGAUGAGUGUGCGACAGUGAUGAGGC